rnacentral:rRNA from 1 species
AUUGAACGCUGGCGACAGGCCUAACACAUGCAAGUCGAGCGGAUGAAGGGAGCUUGCUCCUGGAUUCAGCGGCGGACGGGUGAGUAAUGCCUAUGAAUCUGCCUGGUAGUGGGGGAUAACGUCCGGAAACGGGCGCUAAUACCGCAUACGUCCUGAGGGAGAAAGAGGGGGAUCUUCGGACCUCACGCUAUCAGAUGAGCCUAGGUCGGAUUAGCUAGUUGGUGGGGUAAAGGCCUACCAAGGCGACGAUCCGUAACUGGUCUGAGAGGAUGAGCAGUAACACUGGAACUGAGACACGGUCCAGAUUCCUACGGGAGGCAGCAGUGGGGAAUUUUGGACAAUGGGCGAAAGCCUGAUCCAGCCAUGCCGCGUGUGUGAAGAAGGUCUUCGGAUUGUAAAGCCCUUUAAGUUGGGAGGACGGGCAGUAAGUUAAUACCUUGCUGUUUUGACGUUACCAACAGAAUAAGCACCGGCUAACUUCGUG